UGCUCAACGUCGAGUUUGCGAGCGAGUACACGACGCCGCGCGGACAGAUCGUCCGCGACAAGGGGCUGACCAUUCAACCGCUGCUGCUGGCCUUCCUCACCUUUUACGAGGGCGACGGGUUCCUUAGCAGCUUCAAGUUCGUCGGCGGUGUGUGGAACGACUACGGGACGAGCGGCGUUUCGGAGCACGCGCCUUACGGCAGCGAGCCGAAGACGAACUGGACGGAGAUCGAUCCGAUCUUCGGCAUCUCGCUCGGGCUCGGGAAGGCGGCCACGUUGAGCGUCACUUACACCGCGUUCGUCGAGCAGAUCCUCGACAUCGAGACCUCGCAUCACCUGGAGGUGAAGCUGGCAUUUGAUGACAGCAAAUGGCUCGGGGCAUUCGCGCUCAAUCCCUACAUCCUCUACUGGCAGGAACUAUCGGGUAAAUCUACGGCUGCGCAGGUGCCCUACUUUGUCUUUGGCCGGUCACCCAAUACGGGCAACGAUGAUCCGCCGGGGGAGGGCUUCUACUUCGAGGUGGGCGUCAGUCCGAGCUAUACCUUCAAGUCGCUGGGGGAUCUCAAGGUCGAGUUGCCCUGCCGGAUGCUGCUCCCAAGUGAAGAGUUCUACGGCGAAUGGUAUGCCGGCAAAUCGACCAUCGGUCUCUACGAACUGGGCGUGAAGGCUUCGAUGCCCUUGAAGUUCAUGCCGAAGGGAUAUGGCAACUGGAGCGUCCACGCGGGGUACCGCUACAUGAACUUUGUGGACGAGAACCUUCAGGGGAUGAACCAAUUCAAUGCGCCGGGUCAGCCGACCCAGGAUACGCAUGUGUUUUACGGCGGCAUUUCGGUGUUCUUCUAAAAUAGAGCUUCUGGUUGGGUUCGACGCCGCCUGCGAGUCCGUUAGUUUGGUCACGGGACGUAGGCGGCGUCCUCACCGUUUUAUCUCCAUCGCAUGAAUCCCCGUUACGUCUCCGCUGAUCCUUACCUCUGGCCUUACGACGGCGACCUGGGGCCGCAGAACACCGUCUUCCUCGUCAUCGAUAUGCAGACAGAUUUCUGCGGCGUCGGCGGCUAUGUGGACAAGAUGGGUUACGACAUCGCGAUGACCCGCGCGCCGAUCGAGCCGAUCCGGCGGGUGUUCGAUGCGACGCGCCGCCUUGGCUACCAUGUCAUGCAUACGCGCGAAGGUCACCGGCCUGAUCUCUCCGAUCUGCCGGAAAACAAACGCUGGCGCAGUCAGCGCAUCGGCGCGGGCAUCGGCGAUCCCGGACCGUGCGGGCGCAUCCUCACGCGCGGCGAGCCUGGCUGGGACAUCAUCCCGGAACUCGCGCCGCUGCCCGGCGAAGCGAUCAUCGACAAACCGGGCAAAGGCUCCUUUUACGCCACCGAUCUCGACAUGCUGUUACGCCGCAAAGGCAUCCGGAACAUCGUGCUCGCGGGCAUCACCACCGACGUUUGCGUUCACACGACGAUGCGCGAGGCGAACGAUCGCGGUUACGAAUGUCUGCUGCUCGCCGAUUGCACGGGCGCGACGGACGCGGGCAACUACCAGGCGGCGCUGAAAAUGAUCAAGAUGCAGGGCGGCGUGUUCGGCGCGGUCGCGGAUUCGGCUGCGUUCAUCGCGGCGAUCGCGUGAGAAUCGCUCGGCGCAGUCGUGACGAAGAUUUGCGUCGCCGCUCGCGUUGCUGCUAAUCCAACGGCGUGGAUAGCGAACCCCUCCAACAGUUUUCGUCCCUGG
rnacentral:misc_RNA from 1 species